rnacentral:rRNA from 1 species
CUACAUGAAGCUGGAAUCGCUAGUAAUCGCGAAUCAGAAUGUCGCGGUGAAUACGUUCCCGGGUCUUGUACACACCGCCCGUCACACCAUGGGAGUCGGAAAUGCCCGAAGUCAGUGACCCAACCGCAAGGAGGGAGCUGCCGAAGGUGGAGCCGGUAACUGGGGUGAAGUCGUAACAAGGUAUC